rnacentral:rRNA from 1 species
AACGAACGCUGGCGGCAUGCUUAACACAUGCAAGUCGAACGGGAAGCUCAACUUCGGUUGAGUGGAGAGUGGCGCACGGGUGAGUAACGCGUAGAUAAUCUACCCUUAGGCCUGGGAUAACGUUUCGAAAGGGACGCUAAUACCGGAUAAAACCUUUGAUCGAAUGGUCAGAAGUUGAAAGUUCCGGCGCCUGGGGAUGAGUCUGCGUCCCAUUAGCUAGUUGGUGAGGUAAGAGCUCACCAAGGCAACGAUGGGUAGCGGGUCUGAGAGGAUGAUCCGCCACACUGGCACUGAGACACGGGCCAG